rnacentral:rRNA from 1 species
UACGUAGGUGGCAAGCGUUGUUCGGAUUUACUGGGCGUAAAGGGCGCGUAGGCGGUCAGCACAAGUCAGUUGUGAAAUCUCCGGGCUUAACUCGGAAAGGUCAACUGAUACUGUGCGACUAGAGUGCAGAAGGGGCAACUGGAAUUCUCGGUGUAGCGGUGAAAUGCGUAGAUAUCGAGGGGAACACCUGCGGCGAAGGCGGGUUGCUGGGCUGACACUGACGCUGAUGCGCGAAAGCCAGGGAGCGAACGGG